rnacentral:lncRNA from 13 species
GCCUGAAGGCUUGGGGCAAGUGAUGGCCCCAAUCUCUCCCCGGGGCUUGACUACUUUGCUGGAGCUGUCUCCGCAGGCCCUCUGUGUAUGGUCAGGAUUGGAAGGAGCACUGGAUGGGGAGUUUGUGGGGCAAAUAAAUCUCUACCUCUGAGUUCUGAGGGAAGGCAGUUGGUAUUGGAAGAGGUCAUGGGAAGCAGAUUUUUAGAUGGGAUUUUUUGAGUUGUAUGACUGUCACGUCCAGCAAUGAGGCCUCCAUCCCUGGGGUAGGUAUCUGCUGUGCAGUGCAGUUGUUAAAACUGUCAGUCACGGUGAACUGAGAUGGAAAAUCCCACGAAAGGGAAUCUUAGCCAUUUGAGAGGUUUGGGGAAAGGAAUCGUUAUAAAACUAUGGAGUCAGAUAGUGAUUGCUGGCCAGGCACAGUGGCUCACCCCUCUGUAAUCCUGGCAUUUUGGGAGGCCACGGCAGGAGGAUCGUUUGAGGGUAGGAGUUCAGGACCAGCCUGGGCAUCCUAGCAAGGUCCUUUCUCUACAAACAAACAAACAAACACCCAAACCAAACCAACCAAACAAACAAAAAACCAGCCAAGAAUGUCUGGAGACGGUCCUGGCUGUCAUAAUUGUGCGGGGGAGAGAGAUGGCGUUGCUAUUGACCUAGGAGGUAGAGGUCAGGGAUGCAGUUAAAAUUCCUACAA